rnacentral:rRNA from 1 species
GACGAACGCUGGCGGCGUGCCUAAUACAUGCAAGUAGAACGCUGAAGCGAGGAGCUUGCUCUUCUUGGAUGAGUUGCGAACGGGUGAGUAACGCGUAGGUAACCUGCCUUGUAGCGGGGGAUAACUAUUGGAAACGAUAGCUAAUACCGCAUAACAAUGGAUGACACAUGUCAUUUAUUUGAAAGGGGCAAUUGCUCCACUACAAGAUGGACCUGCGUUGUAUUAGCUAGUAGGUGAGGUAAUGGCUCACCUAGGCGACGAUACAUAGCCGACCUGAGAGGGUGAUCGGCCACACUGGGACUGAGACACGGCCCAGACGCCUACGGGAGGCAGCAGUAGGGAAUCUUCGGCAAUGGGGGCAACCCUGACCGAGCAACGCCGCGUGAGGGAAGAAGGUUUUCGGAUCGUAAAGCUCUGUUGUAAGUCAAGAACGGGUGUGAGAGUGGAAAGUUCACACUGUGACGGUAGCUUACCAGAAAGGGACGGCUAACUACGUG